rnacentral:rRNA from 1 species
CCUACGGGAGGCAGCAGUGGGGAAUAUUGGGCAAUGGGCGCAAGCCUGACCCAGCAACGCCGCGUGAAGGAAGAAGGCUUUCGGGUUGUAAACUUCUUUUCUCAGGGACGAAGCAAGUGACGGUACCUGAGGAAUAAGCCACGGCUAACUACGUGCCAGCAGCCGCGGUAAUACGUAGGUGGCAAGCGUUAUCCGGAUUUACUGGGUGUAAAGGGCGUGUAGGCGGGAAAGCAAGUCAGAUGUGAAAACCAUGGGCUCAACCUGUGGCCUGCAUUUGAAACUGUUUUUCUUGAGUACUGGGGAGGCAGACGGAAUUCCUAGUGUAGCGGUGAAAUGCGUAGAUAUUAGGAGGAACACCAGUGGCGAAGGCGGUCUGCUGGACAGCAACUGACGCUGAGGCGCGAAGGCGUGGGGAGCAAACAGGAUUAGAUACCCCUGUAGUC